rnacentral:rRNA from 1 species
GAUGAACGCUGGCGGCGUGCCUAAUACAUGCAAGUCGAGCGAACGGACGAGAAGCUUGCUUCUCUGAUGUUAGCGGCGGACGGGUGAGUAACACGUGGAUAACCUACCUAUAAGACUGGGAUAACUUCGGGAAACCGGAGCUAAUACCGGAUAAUAUUUUGAACCGCAUGGUUCAAAAGUGAAAGACGGUCUUGCUGUCACUUAUAGAUGGAUCCGCGCUGCAUUAGCUAGUUGGUAAGGUAACGGCUUACCAAGGCAACGAUGCAUAGCCGACCUGAGAGGGUGAUCGGCCACCCUGGAACUGAGACACGGUCCAGACUCCUACGGGAGGCAGCAGUAGGGAAUCUUCCGCAAUGGGCGAAAGCCUGACGGAGCAACGCCGCGUGAGUGAUGAAGGUCUUCGGAUCGUAAAACUCUGUUAUGAGGGAAGAACAUAUGUGUAAGUAACUGUGCACAUCUUGACGGUACCUAAUCAGAAAGCCACGGCUAACUACGUG